GUGCUCGCUUCGGCAGCACAUAUACUAAAAUUGGAACGAUACAGAGAAGAUUAGCAUGGCCCCUGCGCAAAUAAACACAAUAUUCAAAGAGCAGAGCUGGCCCAGAUCUAG
ensembl:snRNA U6 U6 spliceosomal RNA